UUGAGACAACUUGAUACAGAGUAACAGUAAAUCAGACAGAGCUGCUCCUACAGCACCAGCAGUGAAAUUGUAACCCUGUUGCAAGUAUUUUUGGCCGCUGAUAGGACCGAGUGAGAUCACUGCGGUCUCUUUCCUCGGAUAGACUCAAGAGUUGUUCGGCAAGAGCAACGCAGGGACCGCUUUCAGUCUCAUUUCUGCCCUAUCUUAAUUUUAUAUCACACUGGAAAUGUCCGAAAACAAGCCGAAUGAUGAACCGAAGUUAUCUACGACGGACAGGGUGGUGAAAUCUGUCCCCUUCCCCCCCAGUCACCGGCUGACAGCUAAAGAGGUGUUUGACAGCGAUGGGAAGCCCAAAGUGGACGUGCUGAAAGCUCACCUAACCAAGGAGGGCCGUGUGGAUGAGGCGGUGGCGCUCAGGCUCAUAGGAGAGGGCGCCGCAAUCUUGCGUUCAGAGAAGAACCUGCUGGACAUUGAGGCUCCUGUGACAGUUUGCGGAGACAUCCACGGGCAGUUCUUUGACCUGAUGAAGCUGUUUGAAGUAGGAGGCUCACCAGCAUCCACGCGCUACCUUUUCCUGGGGGACUACGUUGACAGAGGGUAUUUCAGUAUUGAAUGUGUGCUGUACUUGUGGGCCUUGAAGAUCCUUUACCCCAAAACACUGUUUUUGCUGCGUGGGAAUCACGAAUGUCGACAUUUAACAGAGUAUUUCACAUUUAAGCAGGAAUGUAGAAUUAAGUAUUCAGAGAGGGUGUAUGACGCAUGUAUGGACGCCUUCGACUGCCUUCCCCUGGCUGCACUUAUGAACCAGCAGUUCCUGUGUGUACACGGAGGACUAUCUCCAGAAAUCACAAAUCUUGAUGACAUCAGGAAACUAGACAGAUUCAAAGAGCCCCCUGCAUACGGUCCAAUGUGUGAUCUGCUGUGGUCCGACCCCCUGGAGGAUUUUGGGAAUGAGAAGAGCCAGGAGCACUUCACACACAACACAGUGCGAGGCUGUUCCUAUUUCUACAGCUACCCUGCAGUCUGUGACUUUCUACAACACAAUAACUUAUUAUCUAUCAUCCGGGCCCAUGAAGCACAGGAUGCUGGAUACCGCAUGUACAGAAAGAGUCAGACCACUGGCUUCCCGUCCCUUAUCACCAUCUUCUCAGCACCUAACUAUCUAGAUGUCUACAACAACAAAGCGGCAGUGCUGAAGUACGAGAACAACGUGAUGAACAUACGACAGUUCAACUGCUCACCUCACCCUUACUGGCUGCCCAACUUCAUGGAUGUUUUCACCUGGUCCUUGCCCUUUGUUGGUGAGAAAGUGACGGAGAUGCUAGUGAACGUAUUGAGCAUUUGCUCCAAUGAUGAGCUGUCAACUGAAGAGGAGCUGGACGGACAGCUAAUAUAUCCCCCCAAAAAAGGUGCCACAGCUUCUGCACGUAAGGAGGUCAUCCGCAACAAGAUCCGUGCCAUUGGGAAGAUGGCCAGGGUAUUCUCUGUGCUCAGAGAGGAGAGUGAGAGCGUGCUGACGCUGAAGGGUCUGACGCCCACAGGCAUGCUACCAAGCGGAGUGCUGUCUGGAGGCAAAGAGAAGCUGCAGAAUGAAACUGCAGGUAUAAUCAAUUGUGCAAGUAUUACAUUGUGUGUUUUUAUUUUUUUUUUCUUUGUGGGAAAAGAUAAGAGCUCGGUUCACUCUUUCUCAUGUUAAAUUUCAAAUGCUCCCUCAAUGAGUUUGGCAAGCUGCCGCAGCAAGGAGAUGAAGGCUUUUUUGGAAUCACCUUUACGCACGCUUUAAUUGGACACAAACGUUCACAGCGCUGAUCAAAUCUGAGCGCUGGUAGAGAAUCUCAGCAGUGCUUUGUCAGAAUAGCCUCAGGUCUCUGUGAAUCAAGGGAUAAAACUGUAUCGACACUAAUAAGUGUAGAAAAAGGGAUAGCUGCCAUCUGCCUUGUCAUUCACCAAGUAAAGCAGAAAUCCGGACGACUUCCCUCUCCUCGCACAGGUUCUCACCCUACAUCAGCUAGCAUUUUCCUGAAUACACAAAAACAUAUGUAGCAUAGUGUUAGUAACCUUUACAUAAUGAUGAUGAUGAUGAUAAUAAAUGUUUAAUCAUGCUGUACAGUAUGGCGUACAGUACUUUAGCACACUUAAUCAUCAAACUGUUUCUGUUUGGUCCUCGUGUAGCAUUACCUACUUAGCCACUGGUCAUACCACACCAAGGUACGGCUGUAGCAGCAGUCGUGCAGGUCUGUGGAUCUCAGUAAGAUUGUGUUUUAUUGCUUAUUAACACCCCUUUUCAUUUCUAAUGUAUAAAGUCUUAUUGAAAUGGUGGAAUACUUCACUAAAGAACCACUUGAACAUUUUACAUAACACCGUGUUGAUCAACUUAGUGCGCACGUGUCCUUAGACGUGAGUCUGUCAGAAAUCAAAGAGCCUCUGACUAAAGCUGACAGUUCUGCAUAUCUCUGUUAGGAAGGAUGCAAUUAUCCUGAAAGCAUAGCAUUCUUUCACAGUCGUUUUCAGCAUCUCUACUGAGCUUUUAAACCAACAUUAAAGUGGACCUAUAAUGCUCAUUUCCAAUAUCAGGGUUUUUUCAGGGUUUUUUUCUGGGAAUCAACUAAAGUAACUCUGCAUGAUUCAUUUUUAAUCAUCAUUUAUCUUAUGCUGGGCCGUGUUGCUGCCCAUUAGCACAUGCCCUGUCUGAAAAGAGCUGCUUGAAUAGCAGGUGGGUGGGGCUUCUGUGUUAUCAGCCGGGGGAAUAUCUGACUCUGACCUCAUUAUUUGGAACUUUGACCAUGUCUGAUAUGCCCGUCCAGCAUUGGAAAACAAGGGAAAGCAUCGUGGGUCCCCUUUAAGUCUCGAACAGGUGUUUCUGCUGAUGACCUACAUGACAAUAGUGCUCUUGAGGAUUAGCGUAUACAGUAUAUAAGUUCAGAGGGAUUUGUUUUUAAAGCAGCUGACACUAAAGAGAACUGCGGUGAAGGUAGAGCGAUGUUCAGAGAUUCCUGUUACGACAUUGGUAGAAUCACACUGCUGCCCUUAGCACAUCAGUGUGCUUCUACUCUAAUGUUGACUCCAUCAUUCAUACUCUUUAAAGUCUCAUGCUAUUGUGCCCUUUUUUUUAAGUAUGUAGUCUUUAGUAGAAUUUAGUCAUUACUUUGUUGUCACCCUCGCCCCACCCCCCCAUCUUUGUUAAAGUUGACUCUGCAAAGUUUUAUCGUGUGUUCACUUAUUAUCUCGAGGAUGACUGUAAUUGAUUGGUAAGUGGCUGAAAGGUUUCCUCCCCUCACGCGUCGCAGAAGUAAGCCAGCACUUUUGAUAUUUAAUAUCAAAAGAUGCUAAUCCCGCAGCUGCAGAUGCUACUUCAUGUUGCACACAACACAGCGCUAACGACGCUCCAUGUUUCUGUGGUUGUUUGAGCUUUACAUUAACAGUUCAGUCACGGCAAGAAACCUCACAACUGCACGCGCACUUAAGUCCUCUCUCUGUUUUCCAUUUGUCUCGUUCCGAAAUGUAUUUUUCUUUGCGUAACAGGAACACCUAAUGCAUCUGCAACUUGCUAAAAUUGCUGUCGAUGUUCAUUCUUGGAGUUUCCCUUUUAUCUGUCACACAUUCAGACCUUUUGUCAGACACAUUCAAAGCACCUCAAAGAUGCAAUCCUCUCCACGAGGUUUGCUGCUACAUACGUGUAUCGCCUUCCCUUUACAGAUCUGGAACUAAGGCUCAUCCUCUCCCCUCUUCCCCCCUCUUUCACCGUUUCCCCUGUUUGCUAACAUCCACAUGUCCUCUGUCAUAAAAUGUGGAGAUGAUUUUUAACCUUUGUUGUCGGCAUUGGCUGUCUUUGCUGCUCAUUGACUUGUUCCUGGGACAAAAUGAACUCUCCUGCUCACUUCUCUCAUUCAUUUUGCAACCCCCCUCUUCUUCUCUUCAGCUACUAUUGAAGCUAUUGAGGCUGACGAAGCAAUCAAAGGCUUCUCGCCUCAGCACAAGAUCACUAGCUUCGAAGAGGCCAAGGGCCUGGACCGCAUCAACGAGAGGAUGCCUCCGCGGC